UUUCCCCUUGACCAGCCUUUCCUUCUGAGACCUUUUUCACCUCAUUUCCCUGACAUUUUCUAGAGGCAUUUGAAAAUGUGGUGAUUGAGAGAGCAAAUGUGUGCCCCACAGUUUGUCCCCAUAACAGGGGAGAUUGUCACAUCUAAUCCCACCCUCAGCCUUGGAUCCAAAUGACAGGAGCAGCCAAUACCAACGAAGAUUAUGAAAAAACACUAGAAUGCCGAAUGUGUCUGUGCAGAAAAUGCUCAGGUCUGAUUUGCCAAGGACUUGGGCAUGAGUUUUCCAAGCACUGAACCAGGAGCAGUUCUCUGCUUUCUUUUUUCACAACCGCCCAGAGCAACCCAAAUUAGUUUCUUUGUUUUUCUCUCCACAGUUCCCUGGCUUUCCUCUUCUGGAGAAUCUUGGUUCAAUUUGUGUUUUAGUGUUUGUACUCAUGGGAUUAGGUUUAUGGGAAAUAUGCUCACAGAGGAAAUCAGAAUUGAAAGCUGCUGUUUGCAAUCACACAUUACCGCGGAAACACAGAACAACUUCCCACAUUUGCAACAUGUUGGAUUUGCUGACUGCUCCGGAUCCCUCUGGUAUGUUCUGACAUUCACAACCCUCCACACAGAAGCCCAGUCUGCAGUCAGGUAUUCGAUGCACAGCAGCUUGAGGAAUGCCUCUUGUGUCAUAGUGAUCAACCCAUCCUCAUCUGUGAACUGCUCUCAUGAGAAGCCCAGACACUUGGGCCAGGCCCCGCUCACAGGUAGGCCUAGAGAGCUGAACCACGUCCCAGGUUUAGGCACAUCCUUAUUGUGAGAUAUGUUCAGUUGAUUCUUUGAAAGUAGCCUCUAACAAUGUUCAUUCUUAGACUUUCUCAUCUUCUCAUGGCUCUCACCUCUCCAUUAUGAGAAUCUCUUCUCUAUCCAGUUUACUGGCCAGAGUUCUCCAACAUGAGAGCUUGCAAUUCCUCUGUAACAAACCAACAGAUAUCCUCAAGACCACCUUGACUACCUAAAAGAAGGGUUUUGGGGUUUUUUGUUUUGUUUUGUUUUUAGAGCAUUAGGUGUGUUAAAAUUAACAGAACCAUAAGCAUGUGCUUAUAGCCCAAAAUAAUGAUUUGGUGCUUUAGAACAUUUUCCCAACAAUGAAUGGGCUCUGAAGUCAGUCAGAUCAGCAUUAAGCACCUAGCUUUGCCAUGGGAGUGGCCUUAGACACACUCAGUGUUUCUGCACCUCACUUACCUCAUCUGUAAGAUGAGAAUUUACCACACAGGGCUGUGAAGAGUAAAUGAGGCAAUUCCUGUGAGUACUAGCACAGUGCUCUGUAAAUAGAAUGUUAUUAUACCUUUUUCGUUACUAAAUCCCAAUGCACAAAAUACAGCAGCAGGCUGUGCUGCUCCCUCACUGAGCCUGUUGUUGAAGAGAGGAGCAUGCUGGAAUGGCAGAUGCAGAAAGGCAUAAGAAAACCCCCAAUAGUAAUAUUAAUUAAAUUGUUUUCAUUUUCUGCCCAAGGUAUGAAAUGUAUGCCUCCUGUCAAGAAAGACCAUCGCAAGCUUUCUUGUGACCUCACACAUCCUGCUGGGCAUAAGACUCUAGAGGCUCCUUACCUGGGCCAGUUCUCAUGGCUGCGUGGGAGUGUGACAACCUUUAGUCAUAAGGGCCCAUCUGCCACCACACAGUGAGGAGGCUGGCUUACGGUGUAAAAGCAGUGGAUUCUCCAAACUCAGUGUCCCUCACCUGUGAUAAACCUGCUGUGUGCACAGUAGCCAUCAGUAGCCACGAGACUGAGUGGGGCAAAGGAACCAAUGAAAAUGGGU
rnacentral:lncRNA from 12 species